rnacentral:misc_RNA from 1 species
UGAUGGGGAAGAAACGUGGGGGACAG